ACGUCUUCCCCGAUUCCUUUCGUCCCGAGACUCACCAGCGAUCGGUGAUCUCCCUCUUCCCCUCUCGGCGUCGCCGGCGCGAGCAACCACCGGGGCUUUGAGGGGGAAGCAACUGGCCGAUCUUUCUUCCCCUCUCAUUUUCCCCUCUUCUGCUUCCUCUCAUGUGCACGGACGACCCGACGCCGACGGCUUCCCCGACGAUCUCAUCCUCGCCGCGUCAUUGGAGGAACGCCGCUGGAUCUUGGAGAUAAGGAGGUUAUUCGGAUCAUAUCUGGUGGAGCGCUCGUCUUCUCUGCUGGCCCUUGCGCGUGGUCGACAGCGAUCGGAGGGAUCCGAUCUAGGGCACAACAAGAUUUGGGAUCGCAACGCCCUCCUAGCCGAUUGACCACCUUCAAUCCUCCUCCUGGAUCCGAUCACUGGGGAAGCAUUGGAUCAAUAUGUGGUGGACCUUCCUUGUUGCCGACCAUUGCCAGUUCUACUUCUUCAAGCUGUGCAGGCCUCGGGUGAAGAGGACUUGGAUUCGAGGCGAGCAUCUCGUCGUGGAUUGGUUUAUCUGAUACGAUUGACAGAUUUAAGG